AUUGCACUUUCAACAUAAAGCGAACGUGCAGCAUAUGUUCUUAUCACCCUUAUAUCUGAUACGGCCCCUAUUUGAGGCCAUGAAUUGAUGUUUAGAACAAGGCAAAGAGUUAGAGGCUUGCGCCGCUUUUACCAUGGAUUGCUCUGGUAUUGCAGAAAGUGCUGAAUAAAUAAUUCUCCAAAA
rnacentral:snRNA from 1 species